CCUACGGGUGGCAGCAGUGGGGAAUAUUGGACAAUGGGCGAAAGCCUGAUCCAGCCAUGCCGCGUGUGUGAAGAAGGCCUUCGGGUUGUAAAGCACUUUCAGUGGGGAAGAAAGCCUUGGGGCUAAUACCCUCGAGGAAGGACAUCACCCACAGAAGAAGCACCGGCUAACUCCGUGCCAGCAGCCGCGGUAAUACGGAGGGUGCGAGCGUUAAUCGGAAUUACUGGGCGUAAAGCGCGCGUAGGCGGUCUGAUAAGCCGGAUGUGAAAGCCCCGGGCUCAACCUGGGAACGGCAUCCGGAACUGUCAGGCUAGAGUGCAGGAGAGGAAGGUAGAAUUCCCGGUGUAGCGGUGAAAUGCGUAGAGAUCGGGAGGAAUACCAGUGGCGAAGGCGGCCUUCUGGACUGACACUGACGCUGAGGUGCGAAAGCGUGGGUAGCAAACAGGAUUAGAUACCCCGGUAGUC
rnacentral:rRNA from 1 species